rnacentral:rRNA from 1 species
UACGGGGGGGGUAAGCGUUGUUCGGAAUUACUGGGCGUAAAGGGCUCGUAGGCGGCCAACUAAGUCAGACGUGAAAUCCCUCGGCUUAACCGGGGAACUGCGUCUGAUACUGGAUGGCUUGAAUCCGGGAGAGGGAUGCGGAAUUCCAGGUGUAGCGGUGAAAUGCGUAGAUAUCUGGAGGAACACCGGUGGCGAAGGCGGCAUCCUGGACCGGCAUUGACGCUGAGGCGCGAAAGCCAGGGGAGCAAACGGG